rnacentral:RNase_P_RNA from 1 species
AUUUUCGGGCAAUCGCGGGCCGGCUAACCGGUCUGAGGAAAGUCCAUGCUCGCACCGGCUGUGAUGCCGGUAGUGUUCGUGCCUGGCGAAACCAUAAGCCAGGGUACCGAGUGAUCGGUAACGGCAGGAAAAACACCCUAAAACUUCGGUCAUGGGCUAGUAUCCUUGAAAGUGCCACAGUGACGAAGCGUCCUUGGAAACAAUGACGGUGGAACGCGGUAAACCCCUCGAGCGAGCAACCCAAACAAUGGUAGGGGCGCUUCUUUGACGGAAUCAAACGAAUACAAGAAGGCAAGCAAUUGCAGAUAGAUGAUUGCCCAAGGAAUCUUUGACCUGAAAGAUUCUUGGACAGAACAUGGCUUAUAGAA